AACGCGAAGAACCUUACCUGGCCUUGACAUGUGCGUAGUAGAAGGGUGAAAGCCUGACGAGGUAGCAAUACCAGCGUACACAGGUGCUGCAUGGCUGUCGUCAGCUCGUGUCGUGAGAUGUUGGGUUAAGUCCCGCAACGAGCGCAACCCUUGUGUCCUGUUGCCACCCCGGCGAGAGUCGGGAGCACUCUGGACAGACUGCCUCGCUUAAACGAGGAGGAAGGUGGGGAUGACGUCAAGUCAGUAUGGCCCUUACGGCCAGGGCUGCACACGUACUACAAUGCCCGGCACAAAGGGAAGCAAGACCGCAAGGUGGAGCAAAUCCCCGAAAACCGGGCCCAGUUCAGAUUGUCGUCUGCAACUCGACGGCAUGAAGUUGGAAUCGCUAGUAAUGGCGCAUCAGCUACGGCGCCGUGAAUACGUUCCCGGGCCUUGUA
rnacentral:rRNA from 1 species